AGAGUUUGAUCCUGGCUCAGAUUGAACGCUGGCGGCAUGCUUUACACAUGCAAGUCGGACGGCAGCACAGAGAAGCUUGCUUCUUGGGUGGCGAGUGGCGAACGGGUGAGUAAUAUAUCGGAACGUACCGAGUAAUGGGGGAUAACUAAUCGAAAGAUUAGCUAAUACCGCAUAUUCUCUGAGGAGGAAAGCAGGGGACCUUCGGGCCUUGCGUUAUUCGAGCGGCCGAUAUCUGAUUAGCUAGUUGGUGGGGUAAAGGCCUACCAAGGCGACGAUCAGUAGCGGGUCUGAGAGGAUGAUCCGCCACACUGGGACUGAGACACGGCCCAGACUCCUACGGGAGGCAGCAGUGGGGAAUUUUGGACAAUGGGCGCAAGCCUGAUCCAGCCAUGCCGCGUGUCUGAAGAAGGCCUUCGGGUUGUAAAGGACUUUUGUCAGGGAAGAAAAGGACAGGGUUAAUACCCCUGUUUGAUGACGGUACCUGAAGAAUAAGCACCGGCUAACUACGUGCCAGCAGCCGCGGU
rnacentral:rRNA from 2 species